rnacentral:rRNA from 1 species
UUUAGGUAGAGCCUGCUCACUGAUUUUUCAAGAGCCGCAGUACCCUGACUGUGCUAAGGUAGCAUAAUCAUUUGUUAUUUAAUUAAUAACUUGUAUGAAAGGUUUGACGAGAGACUUACUUUCUAUUUGUUAACAAAUAAAAAUUAUACUAGAGUAAAAAAGCUUUACUACUCCAAAAAGACGAUAAGACCCUAGAACCUUUAUCUUUAGAUUUUAUUGGGGCGAUAUGGACCUUAACAGACUAUUCUAUUAACCUUUUUAAGGGCAAUAUUUAACUUCUUUAAAAAAAAAAAGGUACUCUAGGGAUAACAGCAUAAUCUAUCUUGAGAGACCUUAUCGACAGAUAGGAUUUUGACCUCGAUGUUGAAUUGAAUCCCUUUUUAAAGCAGAAUUUACUUAAGGAGGUCUGUUCGAC